rnacentral:rRNA from 1 species
GAUGAACGCUGGCGGCGUGCUUAACACAUGCAAGUCGAACGGAAAGGCUCCUGCUUGCAGGGGUACUCGAGUGGCGAACGGGUGAGUAACACGUGGGUGAUCUGCCCUGCACUUCGGGAUAAGCCUGGGAAACUGGGUCUAAUACCGGAUAGGACCACAUUUUGGAUGGUGUGGUGGAAAGUUUUCGGGUUUGGAUGUCGCUUCUGGCUAUCAGCUUGUUGGUUGGGUUAUUGCCUAACAAGGCGUCGAAGGGUAGCCGGCCUGGGAGGGUGUACGGCCACAUUGGGACUGAGAUAGGGCCCAGACUCCUACGGGAGGCAGCAGGGGGGAAUAUUGCACAAUGGGCGCAAGACUGAUGCAGCGACGCCGCGUGGGGGAUGACGGCCUUCGGGUUGUAAACACCUUUCGCUAGGGACGAAGCGCAAGUGACGGUACCUGGAGAAGAAGCACCGGCUAACUACGUG